rnacentral:sRNA from 1 species
CGCACACCUCGAUAAUGCGAAGACAAACAAAAUUGUUGACGAUUUUGAUAGAAUAAAGUCUCUUUGUCGAACGAACAUUGUUCCCAAUUUGCGAUUGACACAAAUGUUUGCAUUUACCACCAUCGCAUACGGUGGAUCUCUAUUUUCACUUGUUUUGUUUAUUUAGGCAAAAUACUCUUUUUCCGUUUUAAAUAUUUCAUAUUUUUUGCGUUUUUGGUAAAAUGCCAUUUGAAGAUGAUUUGAAGAAAACAAACCAAAAAAAAAGAAGAACAGAGAAGACUCGAUCGAUGACAAGAAUAGGCGACUGAACCACGAGUGAAAUACAGUCACUCGUCCAUUCAAUUCACAUGACGACGAAAAAUAUAUGAUGAUGGGCGGUGAUGACGAUGCAAAUGCGGAUGGUGGGGAAUCCCCUGGCCAUACAAUAUAACUAAGUUAAAAAUGAAAAACAAAUGCAAAAGUUUUGAUAGAAACGCCGAAAAAAAACACGAAAUUGGGCCGAACGCAAAAAAGCACCGUCAUUUCCCACAGGCAACACCGAUAUCAACCUUCUUCUCAACAGACUGCUUCAGUUUCCAAAACAUUGUCAAUGAGUGCAUAAAUAUUUAAAAAAGGGAAUUUUCAAAAAAUAAAUUAAAUCAACUCAACUCCAAAUUGCUACAAAAUUAUUGGUAAAGUGCAGUUCAAUUUGGGUUAAUGACAUAUGAGAAAUUAACCUUGAAAAGUGAAAAAAGUAUAAGAAAAAUUUGAAAAAAAUUUCCUUGUGUUAAUUUUUUGAACGUAAAUUUUUUCGGGAAUUUAAUAUACGAACCAAGAGCACAAGUAAACAUCUUUAUUAAAGUAUCAAACGUUCAAGGCUAUACAUUGUGUAAAUCAGAUAACUAAAA